AAAAGAAAAAAAAACACACAAGAGAUGAAAUCUCUCUUCUUAUUUCUUGUAAAUUUUAAUUUCUCAAGGCUAUGCUUGUUUUGUGCCUUUAUAAAAGGGUUAAUAAUACUUUUUUUUUUUGACUAGAUACACAAAAAUGAGUAAAAGAAUCUAGUUGGUUUUAUGGUUGUAUACAUAAUUAUAGAUUUUAUUUUUAUUUUUAUGGUUUUAUGCUUGCAUACACAAUUAUAGUUUUUUAAAAAAUUGUGGAGUUUGAAGAUCCAUUUGAUUAGGACCCUAAUUUGAUCAUUUAUUUAUAUUUCUUAUUUCAUUUUUAUUUUCACUAGAUAAACCAUUAUUCUCCUCUUCUAAAUUCAUAUUUCUUCAUCUUCUUGAUUUUUGAAAAAAUAUAUAUAUGAUCAUGGGUAGAUUAUGAAUUUAAAGAGCUAAAAAUUUAAUAUAUACAUAUGAGUGUGUAUAUAUGUACUGAUACAAGUCGUGUACACGUAUAUGCCUGGCUCCCUGUAUGCCAUUUGCAAAGCUCACCGUAAUAUAUCGAUGGGCCUUGUUGAAUGGCGUAUGAGGAGCCAAGCAUAUUCCGAUAUCGUGUAUAUGAUGUUGAAAUAUGUAAUCAUCUCGUCCAAUAAAGUUACCUUUUUUUUCUUUCUUUCUAUUAAUUUAAUUUGUUUAUGUUGAGAUCUAAACCAGGUUAUGGUGAUUGAUGAAGAAUUCUUCAUCCUCAGUUGCAAGAGGUACGAACUACACAAACUAUGGGAUUCUUUUAGGGUCAGAGCUAGCUAGCUCAGUCACUAUCCAAGAAUAAUUUGUAUAAUAUGUAUUUACAACUUUACAUUAUGUUUUAUGCACUUUCUCAAUUCAAUAACUUCUUAAAAUCUCUUAAUUUGAUUGAUUUGAUUCUGGCUUCAUAGAGUCGAUGUUGUUAUUAUUUGUCCCCCGCUCCCAUAAAGCUAAUAAGAGGCUUUAUAAACAACAACAUUUUGUUGAUGCCUCGCAACUUACCUUGAAAUGUUUUACCUAUAGUUUUAUCGAUUAAUAUUAGGUUUUUAAUACUCUAUUUUGUUCUAGCUUGUGGUGAAAUAGAUAACAUCCUUUUAUCCUUGAAUGAAACUUUCGAUUUGUGCUUUUAGAAUAGAGGAAAUCAUGAUAGAGUGAGUUUUUCCUUUUAAUGAGUUAUAUUUAAUGUGAAUUUGAAUUAGUCAGAUUGAUCGUACAUUUCUCACUGAAAUACACUAUGCAUACAAAGUCGAAAUUACUUCUACAUAUUUUUAUAAUGUAUAUUGAAUCA